rnacentral:rRNA from 1 species
CAGUAGCCGCGGGAAUACGAGGGGGGCAAGCGUUGUUCGGAUUUAUUGGGCGUAAAGGGUGCGUAGGUGGUUUGGCAAGUCUUGUGUGAAAUCUUCGGGCUCAACCCGAAGCCUGCACGAGAAACUACCGGGCUUGAGUAUUGGAGAGGUGAGUGGAAUUUCCGGUGUAGCGGUGAAAUGCGUAGAUAUCGGAAGGAACACCUGUGGCGAAAGCGGCUCACUGGACAAUAACUGACGCUGAUGCACGAAAGCUAGGGGAGCAAACAGGAUUAGAUACCCCAGUAGUCCCUGUCUCUUAUAU